GAUGAAGAACGUAGCGAAAUGCGAUAAGUAAUGUGAAUUGCAGAAUUCAGUGAAUCAUCGAAUCUUUGAACGCACAUUGCGCCCGGCAGUAUUCUGCCGGGCAUGCCUGUUCGAGCGUCAUUUCAACCAUCAAGCCCCCGGGUUUGGUGUUGGGGAUCGGCUCUGCCCUUCUGGGCGGUGCCGCCCCCGAAAUACAUUGGCGGUCUCGCUGCAGCCUCCAUUGCGUAGUAGCUAACACCUCGCAACUGGAACGCGGCGCGGCCAUGCCGUAAAACCCCAACUUCUGAAUGUUGACCUCGGAUCAGGUAGGAAUACCCGCUGAACUUAAGCAUAUCAAUAAGCGGAGGA
rnacentral:misc_RNA from 1 species